CACCGCCAGCGACUGUCUUCAUGCAGGAUCCACAGUGCCAGAUCCCCACGGCUCGCCUCUUCAUCUUGGUUUUGCCACAGAAGGAGCAGGUGUACUUGGCGUGCUGGCUGAUCUCAAUCUUCUUCACCAUUUUCCGGAGGGAGGCGCCAUAACGGGUCCCGUAUUUACCGACGAUUCCGACCUUCUUGGUGCGUUUAGCCAUGUCGCCGUGCGAACUAAGCCCGACGUCGAGAGCCCAGGUCUGCACACCAGUCACAG